GACGAACGCUGGCGGCGUGCUUAACACAUGCAAGUCGAACGGAAAGGCCCUGCUUUUGUGGGGUGCUCGAGUAGCGAACGGGUGAGUAACACGUGAGUAACCUGCCCUUGACUUUGGGAUAACUUCAGGAAACUGGGGCUAAUACCGGAUAGGAGCUCCUGCUGCAUGGUGGGGGUUGGAAAGUUUCGGCGGUUGGGGAUGGACUCGCGGCUUAUCAGCUUGUUGGUGGGGUAGUGGCUUACCAAGGCUUUGACGGGUAGCCGGCCUGAGAGGGUGACCGGGCACAAUGGGACUGAGAUACGGCCCAGACUCCUACGGGAGGCAGCAGUGGGGAAUAUUGCACAAUGGGCGGAAGCCUGAUGCAGCAACGCCGCGUGCGGGAUGACGGCCUUCGGGUUGUAAACCGCUUUCGCCUGUAACGAAGCGUGAGUGACGGUAAUGGGUAAAGAAGCACCGGCUAACUACGUG
rnacentral:rRNA from 1 species